ACAUUUUCCUUGUAUUUUCAGGCUGGGGCUUUUAGACAGCCUUACCAACAGUUUAGCCUUAGCAAAUGCAAUGAACUUCCUCUUAGUUUCAGCUGCCUUUUAAAGUGAUGUAUCCUGUUUUUACCUAACAUUUGAUGAUUCUUUCUUAUUAAGGUCUGAUCCUUUUUGUCUGUCUUCAGGUCAGGCCUCUGCUCUGGAUGUAGGUCAGCUCCUAUAGCCAUAGGAUCUCACGUUCUGCCUCACUGAAAAAAAUAGUUCGUUCUUGGUAUUUCAUGUCUUGUGUUUCUUUGAUGGUUCUCCUUCGCAGUCCUGCAUUUUGCAGUCUGCAGCUCAGACAGAUGUGCUUUAUCAGCGAGUGAAUGAGCUGUGAAAGAUGCACUCUAAUCAAGAGCACGAAGCUCCUGUUCUGGGUGUUUAGACAACGGCACUUUCCCCGUGGCUUUGAUCAGUGCCCGUUCAAUCAAGGCGCAGCCUCCUCCUAACUUUCUGACUGCUGACUUCAGGUGCCUGGCUGACUCCUACUUGCUGCAUGAGUUGGGAUGAACCUGGAGUCAAGACUUUCUCUGCCCUUUCUUUGCAAGUCAUUCACCCAACACCUAGUUUGCAGAUGCAGGUCUGUGUCUUUAAGAAGAGACUCUCUAGUACUCCUCCAUAAACC
rnacentral:lncRNA from 1 species